GAUGAACGCUGGCGGCGUGCUUAACACAUGCAAGUCGAACGAUGAAGCCCAGCUUGCUGGGUGGAUUAGUGGCGAACGGGUGAGUAACACGUGAGUAACCUGCCCUUCACUCUGGGAUAAGCCUGGGAAACUGGGUCUAAUACCGGAUAGGAGCGUCCACCGCAUGGUGGGUGUUGGAAAGAUUUAUCGGUUUUGGAUGGACUCGCGGGCUAUCAGCUUGUUGGUGAGGUAAUGGCUCACCAAGGCGACGACGGGUAGCCGGCCUGAGAGGGUGACCGGCCACACUGGGACUGAGACACGGCCCAGACUCCUACGGGAGGCAGCAGUGGGGAAUAUUGCACAAUGGGCGCAAGCCUGAUGCAGCGGCGCCGCGUGAGGGAUGACGGCCUUCGGGUUGUAAACCUCUUUCAGUAGGGAAGAAGCGAAAGUGACGGUACCUGCAGAAGAAGCACCGGCUAACUACGUG
rnacentral:rRNA from 1 species